rnacentral:rRNA from 1 species
GACGAACGCUGGCGGCGUGCUUAACACAUGCAAGUCGAACGGAAAGGCCCUGCUUUUGUGGGGUGCUCGAGUGGCGAACGGGUGAGUAACACGUGAGUAACCUGCCCUUUACUUUGGGAUAACUUCAGGAAACUGGGGCUAAUACCGGAUAGGAGCUCCUGCUGCAUGGUGUGGGUUGGAAAGUUUCGGCGGUUGGGGAUGGACUCGCGGCUUAUCAGCUUGUUGGUGGGGUAGUGGCUUACCAAGGCUUUGACGGGUAGCCGGCCUGAGAGGGUGACCGGCCACAUUGGGACUGAGAUACGGCCAAGACUCCUACGGGAGGCAGCAGUGGGGAAUAUUGCAAAAUGGGAGGAAGCCUGAUGCAGCAACGACGCGUGCGGGAUGACGGCCUUCGGGUUGUAAACCGCUUUCGCCUGUGACGAAGCGUGAGUGACGGUAAUGGGUAAAGAAGCCCCGGCUAACUACGUG